rnacentral:rRNA from 1 species
CCUACGGGAGGCAGCAGUAGGGAAUCUUCCACAAUGGGCGAAAGCCUGAUGGAGCAACGCCGCGUGGGUGAAGAAGGUCUUCGGAUCGUAAAACCCUGUUGUUAGAGAAGAAAGUGCGUGAGAGUAAUUGUUCACGUUUCGACGGUAUCUAACCAGAAAGCAACGGCUAACUACGUGCCAGCAGCCGCGGUAAUACGGAGGUGGCAAGCGUUAUCCGGAUUUAUUGGGCGUAAAGGGAACGCAGGGGGGCUUUUAAGUCUGAUGUGAAAGCGUUCGGCUUAACCGGGGUAGUGCAUUGGAAACUGGGAGACUUGAGUGCAGAAGAGGAGAGUGGAAUUCCAGGUGUAGCGGUGAAAUGCGUAGAUAUAUGGAAGAACACCAGUGGCGAAAGCGGCUCUCUGGUCUGUAACUGACGCUGAGGUUCGAAAGCGUGGGUAGCAAACAGGAUUAGAUACCCCUGUAGUC